CCUACGGGUGGCAGCAGUGAGGAAUAUUGGUCAAUGGACGAGAGUCUGAACCAGCCAAGUAGCGUGAAGGAUGACUGCCCUAUGGGUUGUAAACUUCUUUUAUAUGGGAAUAAAAUGUUCCACGUGUGGGAUUUUGUAUGUACCAUAUGAAUAAGGAUCGGCUAACUCCGUGCCAGCAGCCGCGGUAAUACGGAGGAUCCGAGCGUUAUCCGGAUUUAUUGGGUUUAAAGGGAGCGUAGGUGGAUUGUUAAGUCAGUUGUGAAAGUUUGCGGCUCAACCGUAAAAUUGCAGUUGAAACUGGCAGUCUUGAGUACAGUAGAGGUGGGCGGAAUUCUUGGUGUAGCGGUGAAAUGCUUAGAUAUCACGAAGAACUCCGAUUGCGAAGGCAGUUCACUGGACUGCAACUGACACUGAGGCUCGAAAGUGUGGGUAUCAAACAGGAUUAGAUACCCGUGUAGUC
rnacentral:rRNA from 1 species